GUACGGCGAGUGAAGCGGCAACAGCUCAAAUUUGAAAUCUGGCUUCGGCCCGAGUUGUAAUUUGCAGAGGAAGCUUUAGGCGCGGCACCUCCUGAGUCCCCUGGAACGGGGCGCCACAGAGGGUGAGAGCCCCGUAUAGUUGGAUGCCUAGCCUGUGUAAAGCUCCUUCGACGAGUCGAGUAGUUUGGGAAUGCUGCUCAAAAUGGGAGGUAAAUUUCUUCUAAAGCUAAAUACCGGCCAGAGACCGAUAGCGCACAAGUAGAGUGAUCGAAAGAUGAAAAGCACUUUGAAAAGAGGGUUAAAUAGCACGUGAAAUUGUUGAAAGGGAAGCGCUUGUGACCAGACUUGCGCCGGGCUGAUCAUCCGGUGUUCUCACCGGUGCACUCUGCCCGGCUCAGGCCAGCAUCGGUUCUCGCGGGGGGAUAAAGGCCCUGGGAACGUAGCUCCUCCGGGAGUGUUAUAGCCCGGGGCGUAAUGCCCUCGCGGGGACCGAGGUUCGCGCUCUGCAAGGAUGCUGGCGUAAUGGUCAUCAGCGACCCGU
rnacentral:rRNA from 1 species